ACUCAAAGGAAUUGACGGGGGUCCGCACAACCGGUGGAACAUGUGGUUUAAUUCGAUGAUACGCGAAGAACCUUACCUGGGCUUGACAUAUACCUGGUAGGAGCCCGAAAGGGUAACGACCUAUCUUCCAAGAUAGGAGGGUAAACAGGUGGUGCAUGGCUGUCGUCAGCUCGUGCCGUGAGGUGUUGGGUUAAGUCCCGGAACGAGCGCAACCCUUGCUCUUAGUUACUUGUCUGCAAAGACAGGACUCUAAGAGGACUGCCGUGGUUAACACGGAGGAAGGUGGGGAUGACGUCAAGUCAGCACGCCCCUUAUGUCCAGGGCUACACACGUGUUACAAUGGUUGGUACAGAGAGAAGCAAAUCCGCAAGGUAGAGCAAAUCUUAAAAAGCCAACCUCAGUUCGGAUUGUAGGCUGCAACCUGCCUGCAUGAAGCUGGAAUCGGUAGUAAUCGCGGAUCAGCCACGCCGCGGUGAAUACGUUCUCGGACCUUGUACACACCGCCCGU
rnacentral:rRNA from 1 species